rnacentral:lncRNA from 1 species
GCUGCUGCUAACUAGGACUCCUAGAGGUUCCCCAAGGAAAAAGUUCACCUACUCCAUCCCAGAAGACGACAGUGGAUCCAGCCUGGGCCUUCAUCCCAAUGCUGCCGGGAGCUUAAAGCAGUGUGACCAGAAGUUCUCCAUCACCCCAUAAAGCCCAGCACCUAAGCGAUCCACCUUUGUUCCUCCCCUUCUCUGGCUCUCCUGCACCCUGCUGUGGCUCUCCGGAGAGUGAAGCAGGGUCCCAAGACGACAAUCUCAGGGCAUANNCUGGAUUCACAAUAUUAAAAUCUGCUGACCGCUGGUCUGAUGUGAACAAGAAACAGGGUUCAUUGGGUCAGUCUAGGCC